GCUCUUUUCGUCUAAAGGUUAGGACUUUACAUUUUCAUUGUAGCAAUACGAGUUCAAUUCUCGUAAAGAGUA
rnacentral:tRNA from 1 species